UACGUAGGGUGCGAGCGUUGUCCGGAAUUAUUGGGCGUAAAGAGCUCGUAGGCGGUGUGUCGCGUCGGCCGUGAAAACCUGCAGCUUAACUGUGGGCUUGCGGUCGAUACGGGCAUCACUGGAGUUCGGUAGGGGAGACUGGAAUUCCUGGUGUAGCGGUGAAAUGCGCAGAUAUCAGGAGGAACACCGGUGGCGAAGGCGGGGUCCUGGGCCAGUACUGACGCUGAGGAGCGAAAGCGUGGGGAGCAAACAGG
rnacentral:rRNA from 1 species